CAGAGAAUAGUUUAAUUAAAAUUUUAAUUUUGGAGAUUAAAGAUAGAUAGAUAAUAUUUUUCUCUGA
rnacentral:tRNA from 1 species